rnacentral:tRNA from 1 species
CGGGGUGUGGCUCAGUUUGGCUAGAGCGCUUCCUUAGGGAGGAAGAGGCCGCAAGUUCAAAUCUUGUCACUCCGA